rnacentral:rRNA from 1 species
UACGUAGGGGGCAAGCGUUGUCCGGAAUUAUUGGGCGUAAAGAGCGUGUAGGCUGUUCGAUAAGUCUGCUGUAAAAGUCGGGGGCUCAACUCCCGAAAGCCGGUGGAUACUAUUGGACUAGAGUGCGGAAGAGGCGAGUGGAAUUCCUGGUGUAGCGGUGAAAUGCGCAGAUAUCAGGAGGAACACCACCUGCGAAGGCAGCUCGCUGGGACGCAACUGACGCUGAGACGCGAAAGCGUGGGGAGCAAACAGG